UGAAUUGUUAACAGGAAUUCUCAAAUGCCAAAAGCCCUUUCUCUGCGGCGACCCCAAAUCCGGAUACUUGAAACCCGAACUCGGUUCUCCACGAUACCAUUUCUUUAAGCUGAAUAAUACUAAAUAAUAAUAUAAUUCAAACUUAAUUUACAUACAUCAAAGUUUACUUUCCCAGGUACGUGACCUUCAAAUACAUUCCUUACAAUACCUGACAAUAGAUUCCAUUGUCUUACUAACUAUAACCAUUAACUCAUACUAAAUCUCAUUCGAACAGCUUUUCUUUUCCCUUGUUCGUGCCUGAGCCUUCAGGUCGAUCGUACGUAACUGAAAACAUUUAGUUUAAGCAAGGAUGAGCAUUUGAGUGCCCAGCAAGUAAUAN
rnacentral:lncRNA from 1 species